AGAGUUUGAUCAUGGCUCAGGACGAACGCUGGCGGCGUGCUUAACACAUGCAAGUCGAACGAUGAAGCCCCUUCGGGGGUGGAUUAGUGGCGAACGGGUGAGUAACACGUGGGCAAUCUGCCCUGCACUCUGGGACAAGCCCUGGAAACGGGGUCUAAUACCGGAUACGACACAGGGAGGCAUCUCCUCUGUGUGGAAAGCUCCGGCGGUGCAGGAUGAGCCCGCGGCCUAUCAGCUUGUUGGUGAGGUAACGGCUCACCAAGGCGACGACGGGUAGCCGGCCUGAGAGGGCGACCGGCCACACUGGGACUGAGACACGGCCCAGACUCCUACGGGAGGCAGCAGUGGGGAAUAUUGCACAAUGGGCGCAAGCCUGAUGCAGCGACGCCGCGUGAGGGAUGACGGCCUUCGGGUUGUAAACCUCUUUCAGCAGGGAAGAAGCGCAAGUGACGGUACCUGCAGAAGAAGCGCCGGCUAACUACGUGCCAGCAGCCGCGGUA
rnacentral:rRNA from 1 species